GGUCAGGCAGCCACUUGAAGAGGCAGUCUGCCCCUUCUCAGAUCUCCAGCUGCGUACUGGGAGAACCACUGCUCUCUUCAAAGCUGUCAGACAGGGACAUUUAAGUCUGCAGAGGUUACUGCUGUCUUUUUGUUUGUCUGUGCCCUGCCCCCAGAGGUGGAGCCUAUAGAGGCAGGCAGGCCUCCUUGAGCUGUGGUGGGCUCCACCCAGUUCGAGCUUCCAGGCUGCUUUGUUUACCUCAGCAAGCCGGGGCAAUGGCGGGCGCCCCUCCCCCAGCCUCGCUGCCGCCUUGCAGUUUGAUCUCAGACUGCUGUGCUAGCAAGCAGCGAGACUCCGUGCGCGUAGGACCCUCCGAGCCAGGUGCGGGAUAUAAUCUCGUGGCACGCCGUUUUUUAAGCCGGUCGGAAAAACGCAGUAUUCGGGUGGGAGUGGCCUGAGUUUCCAGGUGCCUUCCGUCACCCCUUUCUUUGACUAGGAAAGGGAACUCCCUGACCCCUUGCGCUUCCCGAGUGAGGUAAUGCCUCGCCCUGCUUCGGCUCGCACACGGUGCGCGCACCCACUGACCUGCGCCCACUGUCUGGCACUCCCUAGUGAGAUGAACCUGGUACCUCAGAUGGAAAUGCAGAAAUCACCCGUCUUCUGCGUUGCUCAGGCUGGGAGCUGUAGACCGGAGCUGUUCCUAUUUGGCCAUCUUGGCUCCUCCCCAUGUUCCAAUUCUUCAGUGUCUUGAAAGUUACUGCGUAGCAGCAGUUCCUACUUCAGAAGCUUUCUUUCCUGCCAACUUGUGAAGAAGGUGCUUGCUUCCCCUUCUGUCAUGACUGUAAGUUUCCUGAGGCCUCCUCAGCCAUGUGGAACGCAGAUCAAAGCCAGAGAUGAGGUGACAUACACCUAAGAUAUUCAAACUCCAGCUUGAAGGUCAAUUGGAUCUGCCGACAUAUGUUGCUGAUUUUGUAACAUGAAAGCCAGCUAAGAAAAACAGAUCAGUGAAAUGCAUAUUCUUCGUAUUCUUAAUUUCAGCCCUAUCCAAAUGUUUACAGAAUAGUUUGAAGAGAUUUGCAGUUUCUUGUUAUCAGUCUUAUUAAGCCUUGGCAAACCUUUAAUAACAAGUCUAUCAACAACCCACCAGGGAUUUGAUUUUAGUCUUAGAGUGCCUGAAUUUUUACGCUAUUGAACAAUUUUUAAUUGGAAGCACCAGGACUUUUUCUGAUCAGUUGUCCACGUUGCCUCAUGAAUGGGUGGCAUUCAUGCUCAGCUUGAAAAGGCAAUGGCAGCUGGGGAAAAAAUAAGGCUUUGUGUAAGCCGAGAAGAGGGCAGGCAGGCAGGCAAACAGCAAGAUUCCCCUAGAAGUAGCUUUAGUGUGGGUGUUUUAGGCCACACAGAAAAAAGUAAACUAGAAUAAUCACCACCUUGCACUUGUUUUAUGUUUCCAUGGUUUAACUUAAAACACUGGCACAAGGAGACAACUACCAUUCUAAAGUCAGAACCUCAGUUAAACUAGAAUUGUGGGUCAGAUCCAUGUCUGUCAACUACAUAGGACACUUGGAAGUGCAAUUUAGAAAGAGAGAAUAUAGUAGCAGUUUCCCCGCUAGUAAAUCCUACACACCCGUGCCAGGUUAAUUUUAUCAUGGUUAUUAGAAUGUCAAAACCUUCAAGGAUUUCCAUCUGCUCUUAGAGUAAAAUACCAACUUCUACAUUUGUGUUUCAAAGCUCUCUCUAAAAUAACCAAUCCUACACAUCCAGUUCUUCAUGAGAGUCAGGGCUCUGAAGCCAGAUUAUCUGGGCUCAAAUUCCACCUCCAUCAUUUACCAAGUUGUAUCACCUUGCACAAGUCACUUAACCUCUGUGUGCCUUUGUCUUCUCCUUGUAAAAUGCAGAUUAAAAUAUUGCCUCUAUUACGUGGUUGUUAUAGAAGAUUAACUAAGUUAAUAUGUGAAUGUUCUUAAACUGGCCUAAAACUUAGUGAGAAUAAGCACAUAUAAAUGCUUGAGUAAGGCAUGUCCCACUGUACUACAGUGCAUUAUGUUCCUUCCUUUCUCUCUCUACUCAUGGUUUUCUGUCUACUUAAAAUUCUUUGCAAAGUUAGAAAUGGAAGUAGUCAGAAACCAGAAAGCUAGCCAGAAUGAAAAUCACUGAAGCAGAAAGACUAGAUUGUCCUUCCAGAAGAAGGCUCUGUUCAGAAUUCUCCCAGAACUUUCCAGCCUCUAUACAUUUGCUUAUUUAGUUCUCCUUUUCUGGUAUGCCUUUCCUUCUUCUAUCUAUUCAAAACCUACUCAGUCUUUCAAAAUCAAGAUGGAAUUCUCUGUGAUGCCUUUCUCAAAUGCUUUGGACUUACUCAUGUUUUCAUGAACUGUAUCUCCUAUUGAUCUGCCAUUUUUUGGUCCUUAAUUAUAUACCAAUUUGUGUUGCAAAUUAAUAUUUGCUUUCAUAUUAGUCUUAUUUCCCCCAAAUAGAUGGUUAGCUUAUCAAGCACAAGAGCAGAGAUUUAUCUUAUAUCUCGUGUGGAGCUGAGCUUAAAGUAAGUGUUCAAUAAAUUCUAUUGAAUAGACUUUAAUAAAUUCAAUUAAUGUCCUCUCCUUCAAUCCUGUCUGCAAUAGUCACAGUAACUAAAAAUAAGAGGUUUAAGAAAAUAUCAAUAAAAGGCUGAAAAUAUCAUGAAUAAGAAACUAAAACUAACUACCAAAGCCAAGGUAGAUUCUGAUGGGCUGAAGCUGAAGAAAAAAAUGGUUCUUCCUCUAAAAUAUUUUACAAUUUGUUUCACAUAUUUAAAAUAUAUUUGAAAGUGAGGAAACUGGACACAAAUAAUUUCACAAUGAAUUAAGUCAGAACUAGUGCUCAAACCUCUAUCUUCUGGCACUAAUCUGUCUUAACUCAUUGUGGGAUUCUGUGUGUCCAGUGCACCUAUAUCUACCACACUGUGGAUUACGGUGAAAAAAAAAAAGGAUUAUGUAGAGUAGUUAAGUCUCUAGAUUUGUUCAUCUAGUUGGAGUUAAAAAUUUCAUUGGCAAGUAGAUUGUUCACCAAUUUCUGUAAGUAAUGGCUAUUAAAAAAUUCUUUUCCCAUUGGAAACUCAGCAUUUUAGACAUGUGGUAGGCUCUUAGUCUUUGUUAAACAACAGUGAUGUUAUUUCUUCAAUUUUGAUACUUGGUGUGUACUCUUAUUUCCUGGCUGUUCAUAGUUUAUGCCAAUUAUGCCAAAUUUUUAUCAACUUUAUCCAAAUUUUAUUUGUUGUCCAAUAUUUGUUUGACUAACUUGCCAAUUUCUCAGUGCAUAUUUAUCCAAGAGGAACUGAAGUAUUGUCAGUAUAGUUUUGAUACCAGCAAGGUUAUAUAAUAAAAAACUAACCUUUAGUGACUAUAUUUGUAUAUUUAAUAUUAAGUAUAGAUCACAUGCGGCUGCUUGACUUCUGAUGUAACUCUAUGUGUUUUGAAAUAGACCUGAGGCUCCUUACAGGAAUAGACAAUGGUCUCUUCAGUUGAAUUUUUGCUGACUUUUCUCAAUAUGUGAAAAUCUCUUAAUUUUCCUGACUCUACCCUAUCUAGGUUCUCCUCUUGUGUCUUCCUUCACUCCUUUAAUAAAUCUUAGUUCUCAGUCCUCCACUGUAUUUUCUAUAUAAUGCCUUAGAUUUCAUCUCAGUCACUGUAGUGCUUUCACUAUUUCUGCAUAGAUGAUGCUAUAAUAUUUACUUCAGCUUUCAAAAUUCUAACCAGCUCUUCUCUAAAACCCUACUAGACAUUUCUUCUUGGGCAACCUACCUAUACCUCAAGUUGGAUGUAUUUUUAACUGAAUUCAUCAUGUCUCUGAAAUUGUCUCUGUCUCUUAAUUUUCUUAACACUAUUCCUGCCGUUCAUUAGGAAGUUCAGUCUCCUUUGACUCCUCUCCUUUCCUGACUGCAUAUUCAUUUGGUCCUAUAGUAUUGUCUGUUUGAUCAUCUUGAUAUCUGCAAAGUCCAUUUUUCCUUCUGGCACUUCCUUUUCCAUCUCUUCAACUGGACUGGCACUGUAGUUCAAUACCCAGAAAUACACAUAAUAAUUACUUGUUGAAUUAAUAAAUGAAUGACUUUCCUAUCUCAAUUUCUUUGUGCCUUCAGUAUAUUCCAGAUUAAUUAUUUCUCUGUAGCCCCAGCUACCGGGAGGCUGAGGCAGGAGAAUGGUAUGAACCCGGGAGGCGGAGCUUGCAGUGAGCCGAGAUCGCGCCACUGCACUCCAGCCUGGGCGACAGAGUGAGACUCCAUCUAAAAAAAAAUAAAAAUAAAAAAUAAAAAGACAUAUUCAUCCUGUUACUUAUACUGGAAAGCCUUUCCGAGCUUUCACUCUUCUAUAAUAGUGCUUCCCUUUCCUCACUUUGCAUUAGUACCACCUGGAGAGAUUGUAGAGAAUCCUGUGCCCAAGCCUCAUCUAGACAUAGGAAGUAGACUCUCUGGACACAGGACCCAGACAUUCAGGGGUGAUAUCCAAAGAAUUUUACCAGUGAUAUGACAAAAACACCAAUCAAAACUGCUUUCCUGACCGAUCAGCAUGGACUAUGGCUGCAAAAACCAGAAUGGUCCUAAAUACUAUCUAAUUAUCAGCCCUGCCAAUACUCAUGUUUAUUAAGAUCUCAAAAAGGUAAUUCUAAUGAACCACUGAUUACAAAAUACACUCAUAUUUCUGACCCUGGCAAUCAAGACUCUUUAUAAUAAGGCCUAAAUUUCCCUUUAGAACAUUAUUGCCUCUAGCCUUUAUAUGAAAUCUCUGCUCUAAUCAUUUUAUAUCCACUAACUAUGCCUUGCUCAUUGCCAUUUCCUAGCUUUUACUUACAGAGUAGGUGUUCUAUGACAGGGUAAACUUUGCUUUACUUCAUUUUAAUGGAAAAUAGAGGUAAUGUGAAGUAGAACAUUAAUGCACUCAACCAAUCAAACAGUAAUUUACAGUGUUUGUGAACUUUUUAGGAUGUGUAUGUUUGCUUACCAAGAAUGGCACUGAAUUACAACGAAUGAUGAAAAGUUAUAAUCAUGGAAUAGAGGGGAGCAGAGACGAAAUGUUCAAGCCUUGGCUAUGGAGGAAAAAAAUUGCUGAUGGAAAGAGAAUGGCCAUGUAUGUCUACUAAACAUCACACUCUUGAUCUUUUAAAAAGGAAUUGUUUUGUGAAUUUCUAACUUGUCUUUUAUGAAGUUAUGGUUCAUUCUUUUAAAUAAUGUGAGGAAAUGUUGACCAAAAAUGACUGAAGUGUGUUGAAAAAAGAAUAAUCUCCAAAAAUAAUGGAAAGUAAUUCUGUUGUUGCUACUUCACGGAGCUCUUUCCUUACAUUGUGUUUUUAGUGUCCUUGGCUACUUCUUAGAUCCAACGUGUACAACAAAAUGCUAAAAUGUAAAGAGCAUAAUUUAGGGAUCAAUAAAAUUUUAUCUGAUAGAUGCCUCACUCACAAGAAGACUCAGAUGACACAUAAAGGGCACUGAUGUAGGAAUAACUAAUCACUGUCAACUGUACUCAUGGGAAAAAUCAGCAUAACUCCCAUGUUCAAGUAAGAAGAAAAUUUUAAGUCAUUGAGUUAUAUCACAUCUAGUUCCAGAAGCCUGUUUUGGGUUAUUUGUGCCCUGGGAAUUCCUGCAAAUUCAGAGACCAAUUCUAGGAUAAGAUGAUUGAACUAGUCUGUUCUUAACUGCUUUAAAGAACUACUUGAGACUGGGUAAUUUAUGAAGAAAAGAGGUUUACUUGACUCACAGUUCUGCAGACUGGAAAGGAGGCAUGACUGGAAGGCCUCAGAAAACUUACAAUCAUAGUGGAAGGACAAAGGGGAAGCAAGCAUGUCUUCAUGUAGUAGCAGGAGAGAGAGAGAGAGAGAGAGAAAGAGUGAAGGGAGAAGUGUUACACACUUUUAAACAAUCAGAUCUUGUGAGAGCUCACCCAUUAUGAGAAUAACUGCAAGGGGAAAAUCCACUUCCCAUGAUCUAAUCACCUCCCACCAGGCCGCACCUCCAACACUCACAAUUCAACAUGAGAUUUGGGUGGGGAUACAAUGAUUUUAUAGUGUUUUGUACCAACCUGGAGUGGAGUUUUUAAUUAACUCCUAAGAGAAUGUUUGAUUAACUUUUUUUUUUUUUUUUUUUUUGAGAUGGAGUUUCAUUCUUGUUGCCCAGGCUAGAGUGCAAUGGCACGAUCUUGGCUCAUUGCAAACUCCACCUGCCAGGUUCAAGUGAUUCUCCUGCUUCAGCCUCCUCAGUAGUUGGGAUUACAGGUGCCUGUGACCAUGCCCAGCUAAUUUUUCUUUUUUUUUGUAUUUUUAGUAGAGACAGGGUUUAACCAUGCUGGCCAGGCUGGUCUCGAACUCCUGACCUCAGGUGAUCCACCCACCUCGGCCUCCCAAAGUGCUGGGAUUGAUUAACUCUUGUAAGUGAAGUACUCGGAGACAACUAUUUGGCUCCAACGUGCUCUUUUAAGCUCUUCCCUUUCAUAUUGCAUCCACAGCCUUUUGAUAGUCAAUUGCAUUUAUGAAGUUAUUCCAAAAUUUUGGAGCUCAGCCAAAUAAUUUCCAAAAGCACAGAGCUGCAAUUGGCAAUAUGGUAGGCAAGAUAAUAGUCCUCUACAAAGAUAACCAUACCCUGAUCCUUAUAAUCUGUGAAUCUGUUAAGAUACAUGGCAAAAAGAACUUUGCACGUGCAAUUAAAUUAAGGACUUUGGGGUGGGAGGAUUACUUUGGAGUAUCUGGGUGGAACUAAUCUAAUUACACAAAUCCUUAAAAGCAGAGAACCUUUCCUGCCUGUGUUUAGAGACCAUGUGAUGAUGAAAGGAGAGUGAGAGAGAUUCUACAUUGCUGGCUUCAAAAAUGGAGGAAGGCCAAUGCCCAGAAGAGUUUUCCCUAGGUUGUCUUCUAGCGGUUUCAGGGCUUUGGGUCUUCAAUUUAAGUCUUCGGUCCAUCUCGAGUUGAUUUUUGUAUAAGGUGAGAGAUAGGGAUCUGGUUUCAUUCUUCUACAUGUGGCUAGCCAGUUUUCCCAGCACCAUUUAUUAAAUAGGGUGUCUUUCCCCUAAUUUAUGUUUUUGUAUGCUUUGUUGAAGAUCAGUUGGUUCUAAGUAUUUGGCUUUAUUUCUGGGUUCUCUAUUCUGUUCCAUUGGUCUAUUUGUCUACUGUUAUACUGCUACCAUGUUGUUUUGGUAACUACAGCCUUGUAGUAUAAUUUGAAGUCUGUUAGUAUGAUGUCUCCAGCUUUGUUCUUUUUGCUUAGUGUUUCUUUGGCUAUGCAGGCUCUUUUUUGGUUCCAUAUGAAUUUUAGGAUUUUUUUUUAUUUCUGUGAAAAAUGAUGUUAGUAUUUUGAUAGGAAUUGCAUAGAAUCUGAAGAUUGCUUUGGGCAGUAUGGUCAUUUUUGUGAUAUUGAUUCUUCCAGUUCAUGAGCAUGGGAUGUGUCUCCAUUUGUUUGUAUAAUCUCUGGUUUCUUUCAGCAGUGUUUUGUAGUUCUCCUUGUAGAGCUCUUUCAUCUCCUUGGUCAAGUAUAUUCUUAGGUCUUUUUUUUUCUUUAACUGUUGUAAAAGGGAUUGAAUUCUUGAUUUGAUUCUCUGCUUAGUCAUUGUUGGUGUAUAGCAGUGCUACCAAUUUGUGUAUAUUGAUUUUGUAAAAUUUACUUAACUGAAUGUAUUUAUCAAAUCUAGGAGUCUUUUGGAGGAGUCUUUAGGGCUUUCUAGUUAUGCAAUCAUAUCAUCAGUGAGCAGUGACAGUUUGACUUCUUUUUUUCCAGUUUGGAUGCCCUUUAUUUUUUCCUGUUGCCUAAUUGCUGUAGCUGGAACUUUCAGUACUAUCUAUGUUGAAUAGAAGUGGUGAAAGUGGACUGGACAUUGGCCUAGGCAAAGAAUUUAUGACUAAGACCACAAAUUCAAAUGCAACAAAACCAAAAAUAAAUAAAUGGGACUUAAUUAAACUAAAAGAUUCCGUACAGAAAAAGAAAUAAUCAUCAGAGUAAACAGACAACCCACAGAGUGGGAGAAAAUAUUUGCAAACUAUGCAUCCAACAAAGGACUAAUAUCCAGAAUCUAUAAGGAACUCAAAUCAGCAAGAAAAAAAAAAAACAAAUGAUCCCAUCAAAAAGUGGGCAAAUGACAUGAAUAGACAUUUUUAAAAAUAAGAUAUACAGAUGGCCAAAAAACAUGAAAAGAUACUCACCAUCACUAAUCAUCAGGGAAAUGUAAAUUAAAACCACAGUGAGGUACCUCUUGACUACUACAAGCAUGACCAUUAUUAAAAAGUCAAAAAACUGUAGUUGUUGGCAUGGAUGUGGCAGAAAGGAAAUGCUUAUACACUGCUCAUGGGAAUGUAAAUUAGUACAACCUCUAUGGAAAACAGUAUGGAGAUUUAAAGAGCUAAAAGUAGAUCUACCAUUUGAUCCAGCAGUCCCACUACUGGGUAUCCACCUAAAGGAAAAUAAGUCAUAUCAAAAAGACAUCUGCAUGCAUAUGUUUUAGGCAGCACAAUUCACAAUUUCAGAUAUUUGGAACCAACCUAAGUGCUCAUUGACCAAUGAAUAGAUAAAGAAAAUGUGGUAUAUAUACACCAUGGAAUACUACUCAGCCAUGAAAAAGAAUAAAGUAAUGCUUUUGCAGCAACUUAAAUGGAGCUGGAGGCCAUUAUUCUAAGUGAAAUAACCAAGGAAUAGAAAACCAAAUAUUGUAUAUUCUCACUUAUAAGUGGGAGUUAAGUUAUGGGUACACAAAGGCACACAGAAUGAUAUAAUGAACUACAGAAACUCAGCAGUGGGAUAGUGAGAAUGGGGAUUAAGGGAUAUAAAAAACACAUAUUGGAUACAAUCUACAUUACUGAAGUGUCAGGUGGUCUAAAAUCUCAGACUUCAUCACUACACAAUUUAUCCAUGUAACAAAAACCACUUGUACCCCAAAAGCUACUGAAAAAAAAUUUUUUUUAAAUGAAGGAAGGGAACCAUUAGUCAAGGAAUGUAGGCAGUCUUCAGAAGCUGUAAAAGGCAUGGAAACAGUCUUUACCCUAGAGGCUUCAGAUAGGAAUGCAGCUUUGCUUACAAUCUUGAUUCCAGCCUACAGACUUCUGAUCUGCAGACCGUAUGAUAAUAACUUUAUGUUUUAGGCCACUACGUUUGUGGUAAUUUAUGGCAACUAUAGAAAAUGAAAAGGAGUCUGCAUGGACAUGUGUCUUAAUGGGGAGUGAGGAGGGAUCAAAAAAUACAAACCCCUCUCAAAGCAUUUACUAAGAAAUAUUUGUUGAUGAGCCUAGACUCUGUCUUUUGUUUACAACUGCUCAAUUAUUAUGUAAUGGAAUUGUAAUUUCUAUGCAUUUGUUAGGUUGGCUAUUACAUAAUUUUCUUUUUUAAAAAAUAGUUUAAUUGAAAUAUAAUUCAUAUAUAAUUUGCCAAUUUAAAGUGUACAAUUCAGUGUUUUUAAUAUAUUCACAAGGUUGUGCAACCAUCACAACAAUCUAAUUUUAGAACAUUUUCAACAUCUUAAAAGAAAUCCCAUACCCUUUAGCAGUCAAUCCCUUUCCCCUCAUCCAGAGCCCUAAACAAAUGCUAAUCUACUUUCUGUCUUCAUUACUUUGUCUAUUCUGGACAUUUCACAUAAGUGAAAUCCUAAAAUGUGUGGCCUUUUGUGUAUGGCUUCUUUGACUUAAUGUAAGAUUUUCGAGGUCCAAUUACACUGCACUACAUCUCAGUACUUCAUUCCUUUUUAUUAGUGAGUACUAUUCCAUUGUAUGGAUAUACCACUUCCACAUUUUAUUUGUUCAUUCAACAGUUUAAUUGUGCUCUGAUGGUUGAAAGACAAAAUUGUCAAGCGUUCUGUAUUAGCAGUGGAUGUAGACAUUUUUUCAGAUGGAUAAAAUGUAUAUGCUACAGAUGUAAAGUCUUCCAUGUAAAAAAGUUUUGUACAGCUUUCUGUACAAUAUUGAAUCUCAUCUGGCAUAUUCUAAUCAGGUUAUAGGUCAAUAAAGUUUUUGACUUAUUUCAAUAAAAAC